GUCAGGUUGGCCGAGUGGUCUAAGGCGCCAGACUCAAGGUUAAUACCUUCCCAUUCGUGGGAUCGUGGGAAUGAGUGUUCUGGUCCACGAAUGUGGGCGUGGGUUCGAAUCCCACAUCUGACA
rnacentral:tRNA from 1 species